GUGAGGAAUUUUCCGCAAUGGGCGAAAGCCUGACGGAGCAAUGCCGCGUGAAGGAUGAAGGCCUAUGGGUUGUAAACUUCUUUUCUCAGAAAAGAAUUAUGACGGUAUCUGAGGAAUAAGCAUCGGCUAACUCUGUGCCAGCAGCCGCGGUAAGACAGAGGAUGCAAGCGUUAUCCGGAAUGAUUGGGCGUAAAGCGUCUGUAGGUUGUUUAAAAAGUAUUCUGUCAAAGAUUAGGGCUUAACCCUAGAUAGGCAGAAUAAACUUUUAAGCUAGAGUUUGGUAGAGGCAGAGGGAAUUCCCGGUGGAGUGGUGAAAUGCGUAGAUAUCGGGAGGAACACCAAAGGCGAAGGCACUCUGCUGGGCCAAUACUAACACUGAGAGACGAAAGCGAGGGGAGCAAAUGGGAUUAGAAACCCGAGUAGUCC
rnacentral:rRNA from 1 species